AUGUUAGAUAGCCAUGCACGUCUAGUACAAACUAAAUGAUGGUGAAACUGCAAAUGGCUCAUUACAACGGUUAUGAUGUACCCGGGAGUUCCGAUGGAUAUUUCCAGUAACACUAGAACUAAUACAUGUCCCUGCGUUUAUUAGUUUCGCACAGUCCGUCGCUGAGUCAUGGUAAACAGUUGAUCGACUCGACGUCCCGGAACAGUUUCCGCCCCAUCAGCUUCGAUGGUUGGGUAUUGGCCUACCAUUGCAACAACGGGUAACGAGGAAUUAGGGUUUGAUUUCGGAGAGGGAGCCUGAGAAACGGCUACCACAUCUACGGAUGGCAGCAGGCGCGCAAAUUACCCAAUGCAGACACUGUGAGGUAGUGACGAGAAAUAAUAAAGCGGGACUUCUGUUUCGCUAUUAUAAUGAGGAAUAACCAAAGGUCAUUCCGAUUAGCAACUGAUGGGAAAGUCUGGUGCCAGCAGCCGCGGUAAUACCAGCGUCAGUAGCAUAUA
rnacentral:rRNA from 1 species